rnacentral:tRNA from 1 species
GGGGUUGUGGCUCAGUGGUAGAGCGCUUGCCUAGCACGCAUGGGACUCUGGGUUUGAUCCCUAGCACCA